CACCCGUUCCCAUCCCGAACACGGAAGUUAAGCCUCGCUGGGCCGAUGGUACUGCACGCGUAAGUGUGUGGGAGAUUAGGUGAUCGCCGGCA
rnacentral:rRNA from 1 species